CGGGAAGUAGCUCAGCUUGGUAGAGCACUUGGUUUGGGACCAAGAGGUCGCAGGUUCGAAUCCUGUCUUCCCGA
rnacentral:tRNA from 3 species